CUUAUGUAAAUGUGAUAUUUCAGUUAUUUCUUUUUAUUACUCUGCAAACAUUCCUAAACACCUGUUUUCGCAUCUUCGUUCUGGGGUAUUGUUUGUAGAUUGAUGAU